UCUUAAAAUUUCACUCGCCGCGAGCUGUCGUCGUUCGCGCCCGGAUAACGAUAUAUUACAAUUUUGUAUUUGCAAAGUGACGUGAGAAAAUGUGACAAGCAGCAAGCAAAACACAUAAGAAAUAUUCAACUGAAAGAAGAAAAAAAUAAAGCCAAAAGCGCUUUAAUUUAAGCCUAGGAUAAAGCUAAGAAUGUAUUGUAUCUAAAACGGAAUUAGCGAUACCCCGCAAUGUGUUCAUGUGCCCCUAUUCUAAUCUAAAUCAUAAGUGCUACAACCUCAACCAACAACAACAACAUAGAAU